GACCGUCGUCGCGUCUCGCCGCCGCGCGAUCGUUCUCGUGACUGCGGACUACUUUCCUGCGGCGGACGAACGACCGCGGCAACGCGCACGCGUCGACCAGACGCGCACGCCACCUGGCACUGCCGCGAGCAACCGCAUUGGUGGCGCGUAGUCGUGCGACGCGUCCAUUGCGCAAGAUUGACCGUUGAGUGUUUCGAGACGUUUCCGUAACCGUUUGAAAUACGUUUUCCGCGCGUACACCGUUUUUCUGCCGCAUUCCGCGAUGUUCACGGACGUUCGCUAAGGCUUUUUUCUGCAGUUUUAUCUAAUCUUUCGCUGUCUUUCUACAGAAACGUUGCGGCAACCCUCACUGAACGAACCUAGGGUUAUGGCAACGUUAGAAUUAGGAAACAGGCCCUCGAAAAGAAUUUCAUCGUAACAUCCUAACAAAGUUCGAGUUAUCACAUGCGGUAGUGAGUGUUUUUUAACGAUAAAUUAUAUCGAAGAAAGUCGAGCUGAGUUUUUCCUGAGUGCUUCAACGACGAAUGAUUGCGAUGAAUCUGUAUUGAGAGCGAAGAUGAUGUUUCGGCGAUCCGUUGCUUGAUUCAGUUCUCCAGAAAGGUGCAUCGCCGCGAUUGUGAUGUCUUAAGGACGAGCAAGCGAAGUCUCUGGACGCGCGAGCGUGCGAGCGAACGAGCAGAAAACGAUCGCGCGUCAUUAGAUCCUGGUCUUGGCCUGACGUCUCGGAGGAACGGCCGACGUAACGUAAGCUUGCAUCCCGCCGCCGACGCGACGCGACGCCGCGCGUUCGACAAGGAUAAACGCCAGAGACACAACACAACGCGCGCGAGAGGAGAUCGGCGAGUAAGAGCUAGAGGCGCGCGCGGCCGGAGAGACCGGGGAGUGGGUGAGCCGACCUCUGACCCCGGCGCGCGAGGGGCGACCGGGGGACCGCGGCACCGUGGCGCAUAGCUCAGGCAUAGCUCGGGCAUAGGCAUACAAGCGCGCGGCGCGACUCGCCCGCCUUUCACUUCGCGAGGAGACGCGAAGGUAAGGAACGUACGUACGCGGAUAGAGGCGGCCGGGCCGGGGAGUGCCCCGCCGCGCGCCGCGCUAUUAUCAUAUUACAGGCGAUUCUCGACGCCGACGCCGGCGUCGGUCGCGGCGCGACAUGGCGAUGCUCCGCGUUCAGCGGGAUAUCGGGAGACGCGGACGCCGCGCCGGCGCGACGUCGUCGUCUAUGAUUAAAAUCAAAGUUCAAUUAGACAAACAAUUAAUUAAAUAGAUGGCAAGAGAGGAGCGGAAAGAGAGAUAUGCGGAGCGAAAGAACGACAUUUCGAACUCUCUCGUUUGUUUUUCUUUUAUUAGAUGAGGUAGCCUGAAUAGAUAAGAAUAACUUUCUCCAGGACACUUUAGCAAGGAUCAGAAUAUAAGAGUUUAACUUAAGAUUAUACCUUGUUUAAUUUUAAAUGCGGCACUGCUUAAAAUAAUAUUUAUCUGGAUUAGUCGUUGACAGAUUAUUCAUUAUAUAAUUUUUUUUUCCAUAUUUAUUAUUUAUACAUACACAUACACACCUGUCUGUUUUUCUUAACAUUGUUUCAAGAUGAUUUAAAUAUCAUAAAAAGAACGGAUCCGCGAGGACUCGUCCAAGUUACGCUAUUACAAGUUACAAUAAAGUAUCUCGAAAAAUGAUUGCGACGCAGCUCGAGCGAGCUUUUGAUUUCUUCCAUCGCGAUUUUUUCGCUGUCAACGCGCUUUACGACGGGAUUAUCGUGCGACACGAUCGCAGACGAAUAUUUCACACUCGCAGGGAUUACGCAAGGAAUAGUGUGUCGAGGCGUAUACCUUAGGCGGCGUUCGGCGAGGCCGCCGUGAUUUUUGCCACUCCGUGGCGUGAAAAAAUAAAAGCCGCCCCGCUACGAGAGCGCGAAUGACGCGCAUGAUCUCUCGCGUGGCAAGACGAAAGUGAUAUCGUUACGCCGUGAACGGGACGUUUAUUAUCCUUUUUAUCGCGCCCGGAUCCGUUAUUUCUCGCGCGCGCGCGCUGGAUCCGCUCUCAUAACCGCCGCGCGAUUACUUGUACAAACUCCCCGGAGUGUGACGGCGUAAUUGUAAUUUAUUGAAUAAUUAUGGCGGCGGUAGUAAUUGGCGGCGACGGGUAUAGUAUAGCAAAGACGGCGCGGCGGGCUGCUAUAUACUUUUCCUGAACACCGUGAGCGCCUGAAGUACACCGAGUGGAUUACUAGAGGAAAUUGUCGUGUUGCAAGAAACAAAAACGAGAUAAUCAAAGUAGAGAGAGAGAGAGAGAGAGAGAGAGAAAGAGGAGGUAAGAAUAGAAAUAGAAAUUUAAUAAAUUAUUUCUGUCUCUCCGGAGCAUCUCUCGUUUCGUUAAUCAAUAUGCUGACCAAACGGGGUCUCUCUAUACGGCGUUUCUCUCUCGACGCGCGAUAUUUGAUCGAACGUAACGACAAAUAAAACAAACCGCCUAUUUCCACGCACGCGACAGUUUCGAAAACGUAUCUCAAUCCCGGCGCACCGGCGGAAAUAUCGGUGUGUGUUGGAUUGCGAGUGUCGACGGGUUGUUCGCGCGCGCUCGAGCGAGCGCGAGAUUGACGGGAUAAUCGCGCUAGGCGAGACGCGAGUGAUUUCGACGCGUGGCAGAUGGCACAUUCGUUAUCGUCUUUAUUAGCCUACGCGCUUUUUGUUCUCCUUUUGCACCGUGGCAAAUUGCCAACGCGCAAUUAACGAUUUGGCGUUUUCACCGUUGGUGAAACGAAAGAAAAAGGAGGAGGAAGCCUCUACAGAUUUUUAUCUCGAUGGCGCAUAAAACUUGAUGCUCACGACUGUGAAAUAAGCGUGAUUAACUCGUAAACGAAUGCGUAAUCCACCGUAGAAGAGACGUCAAUUAUUUUUCCAACGAGUUCAUUGGAAUUCUCGCGGCGCGUAGAAAACGUAGAAACCAGCUGCAGUUUCUGCAAUUACAAUACUUCCCAAUUUUUUUUCCGACGCUUUAUAUUAAACAACAUAACAUCAUAAUAUCCGACUCUUUCUACAUAUUUCGCAGUUUACCUCUAAAUAGGCUUUAAUCGAUUUUAAGCAUUCAGGCAUCGAUCGCGCAUUCAAGGUAUAUACUUACGACGUGAAAAGUCGCGGCGGAUUUACUUUCUUCAUUAGUCAAACUUAACGAGAGAUCCUGUUCUUCGGUCUGUCGCGACUCUGCAUGCAGUUUUAUAUACAUAUGUCUCAUACAUGACUAUAUAUCAUCUCUGUCCGACUAGACAUUGUGCAUAACAGGUUUGACCCAUCAAUGCAGCCGGUCCAAGAAUAACCGGGAAAGUGCGCGCGUCUCCGGCGGGACGACGAAAUCACUUUCGUCGCGCGACUCGCGCGCGUCUUCGCGCUAUCCGCGCGCGAUGGCGAGAAGAUACCGGAGGUCGCGCGGACACGUCCGACCCCGGGAAUUACUCGCGGCGACGGCGAGGAUUCCGUUGGGCACCGCGGUCGCGCGCUGGUACUCGAACGUAAGCGCGGAAAGACAGAAGAAACACGGUGAUCGGGGAAUGAGAGAGAAGGAGAGAGAGAGAGAGAGGCGAGGCCGAAGAGUCCGGUGAGAGUGCACGGCCGUAGCGUACGGUACGAUACGGUCGUGCCAGCAUGCCCGUAGGUCGACCCACAGCGCGCGAGCGCGAGACGUGUAAUUAUCAUCUCCCAAGGGCCUAUCCCACGCUAUCCAAGUUAAGUGGGACACAGCCGAUUACUGCGUGAGCGAUUAGAUGAGAGAAGCUCGGGGAAGGCGCCGCACGCGGCCCGACUCUGGAAGAGGUUGUGUCUCCGUGGAAAAGGACCAACCGCGAAUUCGUCGAUGAAUUAACACAUCAGCGUGCUGGCUCGAUAACGCAUUGACCGACAUCAAUCAAAAUCAACUGGAUCAUCUGUCUAGACUCGGUUACGUAAGAUGUAACAUCGUUUAGCCGGAGUCAAAAUUAAUUUCAGCGUAAUGUAGUUAAGAUUACUCAAAUCACCGGGUGAUAAUUGACGACUAAACGUCAUUUUACAUAAUAGUAUCUGUACCUUAUAAAGGGAGAAUAAUUAAAGUCUAUCAGUCUGUAAUGACGAGAUUAUGAAUACAGGUACUCGACAAAUUACAUGAAUGAAGGCGUAUAUAAUGAAUGAAUGUUAAUGUAUUGAAUUAAACUCCUGAUUAAUUUCCAUUCUAUUUAAAAA